GAAUUUCACAAAGAUUUUAGCAGUGACAAUUUUUCUUAUUAUGAUUUUUGUAGCAAAUAGUAAUGUAAGUGGUAAGGUGAACUUGGCUUGUCCAUUAAAAUGUGCAACAUCAUGUUUCACCAAUCCUGUUUGCUUAGCACUUUGCUUGAAGGAUUGUUUUUGUUGUAAAUCAUUCUAUUGUAAGAUUGCUUGUGUAAAGAAAAGUUGCUCCGAAUUUAAAGACGAUGAUGAGCUAAUGACUCAAUGCUGGGAUGAAUGUUCAACUAAGUGCUAAUUAGAAAGGCAUGUGCUACUAUACUAUUUGUUAG